rnacentral:rRNA from 1 species
CACAUGACUCUCGGCAACGGAUAUCUCGGCUCUCGCAUCGAUGAAGAACGUAGCAAAAUGCGAUACCUGGUGUGAAUUGCAGAAUCCCGCGAACCAUCGAGUUUUUGAACGCAAGUUGCGCCCGAGGCCUUCUGGCUGAGGGCACGUCUGCCUGGGCGUCACGC